UCAAACUAGGAUCAUGUUGCUGGCAAGAAACUUCAACCAAAUAAGGCAGGAUUGACCAGAGGCCCCUACCCUGACUUACUGAGGGAUUUCACAUGCAGAGGAAAAACACUAGGAAAUACACUAGGAGCACUUACACAUCUUCAGCCAUCACGUGUAGCUAAACUGAAUGCAGAAAGCAGCCACCAUUCACCAGAGAUGCUCAGUGCUUCCUUUCAGAGCCUGAGACAUGGAUGCCACUUUUUAAUUGUGAUGGUGAAUCUGCAACAGCCUGAGGAGCCAAACCUCAAACACAAAGGUAUCAGUAGUUAGACCAGGACAGAGAAGGCAUUUCCAAGUCACACCCUGAAACGAGUCUUACUUCUCUUUGAAAACUUCUACAGGACAUGGUCAUUGCCCAGUCAAUAUCCAAGUUUUCUUGUUUAAUAAAGAAAAUAACUUCCUUUA